rnacentral:rRNA from 1 species
GUGGGGAAUAUUGGACAAUGGGCGCAAGCCUGAUCCAGCAAUGCCGCGUGCAGGAAGAAGGCCUUCGGGUUGUAAACUGCUUUUGUACGGAACGAAACGGUCCGGGUUAAUACCCUGGGCUAAUGACGGUACCGUAAGAAUAAGCACCGGCUAACUACGUGCCAGCAGCCGCGGUAAUACGUAGGGUGCAAGCGUUAAUCGGAAUUACUGGGCGUAAAGCGUGCGCAGGCGGUUUUGUAAGACAGGCGUGAAAUCCCCGGGCUCAACCUGGGAAUUGCGCUUGUGACUGCAAGGCUGGAGUGCGGCAGAGGGGGAUGGAAUUCCGCGUGUAGCAGUGAAAUGCGUAGAUAUGCGGAGGAACACCGAUGGCGAAGGCAAUCCCCUGGGCCUGCACUGACGCUCAUGCACGAAAGCGUGGGGAGCAAACAGGAUUAGAUACCCUGGUAGUCC